AUCUGUGGCCACACCACCCUGAGCUCGUGAGAUCUCAUCUGAUCUCGGAACCUAAGCAGGAUCGGGCGUGGUUAAUAGAUGGAUGGGAGACUGCCUGGGAAUAUUGGGUGCUGUAGGCU
ensembl:rRNA 5S_rRNA 5S ribosomal RNA